rnacentral:rRNA from 1 species
UACGGGGGGAGCAAGCGUUGUUCGGAUUUACUGGGCGUAAAGAGCGUGUAGGCGGCCAAGCAGGUCCGCUGUGAAAACUCGAGGCUCAACCUCGAGACGUCGGUGGAAACCGUUUGGCUAGAGUCCGGAAGAGGAGAGUGGAAUUCCCGGUGUAGCGGUGAAAUGCGCAGAUAUCGGGAAGAACACCCGUGGCGAAGGCGGCUCUCUGGGACGGUACUGACGCUGAGACGCGAAAGCGUGGGGAGCGAACAGG